rnacentral:rRNA from 1 species
CCCGGCGACCGGCGCACGGGUGAGUAACACGUAUGCAACCUGGCCGCCACAGGGGGAUAACCCGCGGAAACGCGGCCUAAUACCCCGUGACGCCACCGGAGGGCAUCCUCCGGUGGCCAAAGGAGCGAUCCGGUGGCGGAUGGGCAUGCGGCGCAUUAGCUAGACGGCGGGGUGACGGCCCACCGUGGCGACGGUGCGUAGGGGUUCUGAGAGGAAGGCCCCCCACACUGGGACUGAGACACGGCCCAGACUCCUACGGGAGGCAGCAG